rnacentral:rRNA from 1 species
GUGAGGAAUUUUGGACAAUGGGCGCAAGCCUGAUCCAGCAAUGCCGCGUGCAGGAAGAAGGCCUUCGGGUUGUAAACUGCUUUUGUACGGAACGAAACGGUCCUGGCUAAUAUCCGGGGCUAAUGACGGUACCGUAAGAAUAAGCACCGGCUAACUACGUGCCAGCAGCCGCGGUAAUACGUAGGGUGCGAGCGUUAAUCGGAAUUACUGGGCGUAAAGCGUGCGCAGGCGGUGCUGUAAGACAGGCGUGAAAUCCCCGGGCUCAACCUGGGAAUUGCGCUUGUGACUGCAGUGCUGGAGUGCGGCAGAGGGGGAUGGAAUUCCGCGUGUAGCAGUGAAAUGCGUAGAUAUGCGGAGGAACACCGAUGGCGAAGGCAAUCCCCUGGGCCUGCACUGACGCUCAUGCACGAAAGCGUGGGGAGCAAACAGGAUUAGAAACCCCUGUAGUCC